CCUGCACUCCCUGUCUGUUCAUUCCUUCUGGUUUUGUCUCUGUCUGCUCAUGUCCCAGCCUGAUGUUCUCCCUGUGCCUCAUCUCCUGUUUGGAGCAGCGAGGAGACAAAAUGUUUAAGAGGAGGAUCUCACCCCUCGCUUCCUUCACCCGAGCCGCCCUCAGCAGCGCGAUCCUCCAACAAACUGCCAAUAUUCUUACUGCAGGAGUCAGGAAGAGAUGUCGUACCAGGUCCUGACGCUGUCGCUGGAAGAGGCUGAGAGUGCAACUUUUUAAAAAAACAUUGAGAUAAUUAACCGGUGGCCCGAACGAGAGACGCGGCUCACCUCGUUUCACCUCGUUUCACCUCCUCACGUCUGCUGGAAGCUGCCUGGAUGUCAGGAGGAGUCGCAGAGCACCAGGGAGGGAAACCACACAGACUGAGGGGGCUUCUCUUCUGCUUUAAAGGCUAAUUCUGGUUAAUUAGCUGUUUGUUAAGUCCAUGUGUUGCUAAUGAUAUGCCCUCCAAGGUCUCCACUCUUAUUCUUGUUGAAUUUUUUUUUUAUUCUGAUUUCAGUGAGAUGAAGACGAGUCGGCCCUGUUACCAGGAUCAAAUGUUGGCAUUUCAGGAGGAGCUCAGGUUUCACCAUGGCUCGAUUCUAUCAAGUGACACAGUCAAACAUGUCAGUGAGGGAGCCUGCACGAAACCAGAGUCCUGGAACCAGCUCACCUGAAUGGAAUGCGGCCAUCAUUAGUGUUAGAAAUUCCACCUGUGCUUUUCCUGCUUUGACGAGUCAAAGCGACUGCCGUGAAAAUGUUUUAUUUGCAACCAAAAAAAAAAAUGUUGGAAAGAUU